rnacentral:rRNA from 1 species
GUGGGGAAUAUUGGACAAUGGGCGAAAGCCUGAUCCAGCCAUGCCGCGUGUGUGAAGAAGGUCUUCGGAUUGUAAAGCACUUUAAGUUGGGAGGAAGGGCAGUAAGUUAAUACCUUGCUGUUUUGACGUUACCGACAGAAUAAGCACCGGCUAACUUCGUGCCAGCAGCCGCGGUAAUACGAAGGGUGCAAGCGUUAAUCGGAAUUACUGGGCGUAAAGCGCGCGUAGGUGGUUUUGUAAGUUGGAGGUGAAAGCCCUGGGCUCAACCUGGGAACUGCCUCCAAAACUGCAUGACUAGAGUACGGUAGAGGGUAGUGGAAUUUCCUGUGUAGCGGUGAAAUGCGUAGAUAUAGGAAGGAACACCAGUGGCGAAGGCGACUACCUGGACUGAUACUGACACUGAGGUGCGAAAGCGUGGGGAGCAAACAGGAUUAGAAACCCCUGUAGUCC